UCCAUAAAGUGUGGAACUCUGGGGUCUCACUAAGAACAAGAUUUAAAGUCAGACGAGUUCCAAAGAUACUUCCUGAAGAGACUCUUGGAUUUUGCCUGUGACAGCCCUCCCCAGGACGAGGAAGGCAGCCUCCCCUUGGGACAGCACUCUACGGACUUCUCAGUGUUGGAAAGAGCUGGGACUCCUACAGGGAAUUCCUACUCUUCAUAUUUGUUCUCUGCUAAACCAGAGGAGACACAUCUUGCUCUAGAGUUCCCCAGAACCUGCUCUUCUGGGUCAGCCUCCUGCUGUCUUAUUCUUCCAUCUUUUCUCCACCUAUGCCCAAAGCACAACCAAGGUCACUUUGUUUCUUGAGCUGAGUUCACGCUGGAGCAUUCUUGACCCAGAGAGACACCAUUUUAUAAUGGAAGGCACUUCUUGAGAACCAGAGAGACCUCAUUUCUCAUGAUCUCACUGUGCAGGACUCAGUUUUUAAUACUACAAUGUGAAUUACGAAUCUCCAGGAGGAGAAUAUAAUAUGCGCUGUUUCCGAAGCUCAUCUGACUACAAACUGUGUUUUAAAGAAUGUCUGGCAAUGCAACAGAGCUUCUAUUUCCUGGCAGAUGGACCAUGAGCCUGGGCCAGAGAAUCUGGUGCUGAGCUGCUGCAGUCAGCUGAGCUGCUUACGUAACCUGAAGGCUCUCCUGGGAGGACCAUGCUGUGAAAGGCAGCUCUGGUUUGCUUCCCCUCAGAUAAUGUUUAUAUGGCCUUUUGGUCAGAGAAGAAGCAAAGAUAAUCCCCCUGACCCUCAGGUUGAGGAGACACAGAUCGGCCUUUGCUGAGGGUAGCACAGCAAAUGAGGAUGCAUCUCCCAGCAGGUGACGUGCCCGGUCCUGUGACUCAUGCCCUUUAUCCCAGUAAGUGAUCUGGCUCUGGUAAAGUGCCCUAGGGAGCCUUGCCUGGACAAGGAGCACCUCGUGAUAGUCUGCCCUGUGCAACCCGCUGCUGUUUCUGACGAGGUUAAGCUGGAUUCAAAUGCUAGGUGACAGGACCUUGCCUUGCACGAUGGUUUCUUACCCCACAAUAUUCAUCUCAGGGGUGAGCAGGCUAGCAACAUUCUUGGAUGACAUGGCCAUUCUGGUGAGAUGGUAAAUGCCUGGGGCCUGGACUCUGAAGAUCUUCACGAGGUCACUCCCGCAUGACUGUCCUGAAUAGGCAAAGCAGUCUGCCUGAUGUAGCCACCCCACUUUCUAGGGUCAAUGACCCAUCUGCGGCUCCCAGCCUGGGAGUCCUAGAUGCUUAGAUUAGGUUCUUUUUCUCUCUUAGGGUCAAAUGCAAACAAAAAUGCUGUGAGACGCAGGACAUCAGGGGCAUCCCAGGGCCUGAAUAUUCUUACUCUGACCAGAGCCGGCUCCGGGCAGCUGUCAGCCAUGCCUUAAAAAUCAGAAGUCUGCACACUUUUUCCGUAAAGGGCCAGGUAUUAAAUCUUUCAGGUUCAUGGGCCACAUGUGGUCUCAGAUGCAACUACCCAGCACUGCCAUUGUGGCAUGGAAGCAGCCAUAGAGACUUUGUAAAUGAAUGGGCACGGUGGCAUUCCAAUAAAACUUCAUUUACAAAAACAA
rnacentral:lncRNA from 1 species